UUAAAUUGAAGAGUUUGAUCAUGGCUCAGAUUGAACGCUGGCGGCAGGCCUAACACAUGCAAGUCGAACGGUAACAGAAAGCAGCUUGCUGCUUUGCUGACGAGUGGCGGACGGGUGAGUAAUGUCU
rnacentral:rRNA from 1 species